ACCUCAUAAAUAAUUUGGGAGCCAUUGCCAAGUUGGGUACUAAAGCAUUUAUGGAGCCUCUUUAGGCUGAUGCAGACCUCUCUGUGAUUGGACAGUUUGGUGUUGGCUGUUAUUCUGCCUCCAUGGUGGCAGAGAAAGUGACUGUGAUCACAAAGGAUAGUGAUGAUGAGCAGUGUGCCUGGGAGUCUUCUGCUGGAGCUCCCUCACUAUAUAUGUGGACCAUGAUGAGCCCAUUGGCCGGGCUACCAAAGUGGUCCUCCACCUUAAAGAAGACCAGAGUACUUGGGAGAGGCUGGUCAAAGAAGUGGUGAAGAAGCACUCACAGUUAUCCCAUCACCCUUUAUUUGGAGAAGGAACAAGAGAAAGAAAUCAUUGAUAGUGAGGCAGAGGAAUAGAAAGGUGAGAAAGGAGAUAAAGAUAAUGAGAAACCCAAGACUGAAGAUGUGGGCUCAGGUGAGGAGGAUGAUAGCAGGAAGGACAACAAAAAGAGAACAAAGAAGAUUAAGGAGAAAUGUAUUUAUCAGGAAGAACUGAACAAGACAGGCUCAUUUGGACCAGAAACUCUGGUGACAUCACCCAGGGGGAAUAUGGAGGGUUCUACAAGAGUCCUACCAAUGACUGGGAAGACCACUUGGUAGUCAAGCACUUAUCUCUAGAAGGUGAGUUAGAGUUUAGAGCAUUGCUGUUCAUUCCCUGUUGGGCUCCUUUUGAUUUCUGAGAACAAGAAUAAAAAGAACAAUAUCAGACUCAGUCUGCUGUCUGUUCAUCAUGGACAGCUAUGAUGAAUUGAUAAGAGAGUAUCUCAACUUCAUCCAUGGUUGUGGUUGACUCUGAGUACCCGCCCCUGAACAUUGCCCAUGAAACACUACAACAGAGCAAAAUCUCCAAGGUCAUUUGCAAAAAUACUGUGAACAUGUGCCUUGAGCUCUUUGAGCUGGCAGAAGACAAGGAGAACUAUAUAAGAAAUUGUAUGAGCCAGUCUCUAAAAAUUUAAAAGCUUAGAAUCCAUGGACUAAUUGGCUACUCCUUUCUGAGCUGCUGUGUUACCACACCUCCUAGUCUAGAAAGGAGAGGACUUCUCUUUCAGAAUAUGUCUCUCACAUGAAGCAGACCCAGAAGUCCACCUGUUACAUCACUGGUGAGAGCAAAGAGCAGGUUGUCAACUCUGCUCUUGUGGAGCAAAUGCAGAAGCAGGGCUUUGAGGUAGUUUAGAUAACCGAGCCUAUUGACGUAUACUGCGUGCAGCAGCUCAAGGAGUUUGAUGUGAAGAGCCUGGUCUCCUGUUACCAAGGAGGGCGUGGAGCUGCCUGAGAAUGAAGAGGAGAAGAAGAAAGUGGAGGAGAACAAGGCCGUUUGAAAACCUCUGCAAAUUCAUGAAAGAAAUCUUAGAUAAGAAGGGGACAAUUUCUGGGGCACCUGGGUGGCUCAGUCAGUUAAGCGUACAACUCUUGAUUUCGGCUCAGGUCAUGGUCUCAGGGUCCUGAGAUCGAGCCCUGCAUAAAGUUCCACGCUCAGCAGGGAGUCUACUUGAGGAUUCUCUCUCUUAAAUAAAUAAAUCUAAAAAAAAAAAAAAAAAAAAGGUGACAGUUUCCAAUAGGCUUAGGUCUUCACCCUGCUGCAUUGUGACUAGCACCUACACUUGGACAGCUAACAUGGAGCACAUCAGAAAAGCCCAGGCACUUUGGGAUAACUCUGCAACGGGCUGUAGGAUGACCAGAAAGCACCUGGAGCUCAACCCUGACCACCCCAUUGUGGAGACACUGCAGCAGAAGGCAGAGGCCGACAAGAAUGACAAGGUCAUCAAGGACUUGGUGGUGCUCGUGUUUGAAACGACACUUCUCUCUUCCGGCUUCUCACUUGAGGAUCCCCAGACCCACUCCAGCAGUUAUCCACUUCAUGGUCAAGUAAGGGCUGGGCAUUGAUACAGAUGAAGUGACAGCACAGAAACCCAGCGCUGCUCUUCCUGAUGAGAUCCUCCCCCUUGAGGCUGAUGAGGGAUGCCUUUCUCGUGGAACAAGUAGAUUAGGAGUUUCUACCUGCAGACCUUGUGCCCUCUGUAUAGUGUCCCCAUGGCUUCCCCAGUGGCCUUGAGUGGCCCUGGCCCACCUGGUUCCCUCUGCUGAUUCCAAGUGGGUUUUUCCCCUCCUGUCUUUCUGUCUAAGGCAGGAUACAAGGGCCUUGAGCGCUAUCUUUUCCCACAUAUGACAUUGGGUUUGGAUGUGUGUUGUGGGAUUUUUGUUUAUUUUGUUAGGAAAUCAAAGAUGUGAAAUAAAGAAAAUGCAGUUUUAUACAAAAAAGAAGAAGAAGAAGGGUUUUGGAAGAUUCCUAAUAACAUUGACGUUAGUAAAUCACAUACAUUUAUGAAUAACUUACUAUGUGCCAGGCUAUGUUCAAGGGACUAGAGAUACAAUUGAGAAUAUUAUGAUCAAGAUGGAAUGAAAUGAAAUGAUGAAGGCUUCCAAGAUUCAGGAAGUAGGGUGAAUAUGUCUUAAAUUGUAAUAAGCAUUAUUUUCUUUGUCUUUAAAAAAAAAAGACCAAGAACCUUACUGUUCAGAAGUGUUAAGUCUGCUAAAAGAGUCAGAAAAUCAGAAAACAAUGUAAGUGCCACAGUUUUUAAAUCCAAAUUCUGUUAAGAAGCUGAGUUUUGGAGAUUUAAGCAGCUUUCCCGAGCUCGUGUAACUGGCUAAUGGCAGAGCCAGGCCCAAAGCCCACUGCAUACUUACUAAUUUACUUGUUAACUUUUAGAAGUAAUAUGUGUGACCUCAAUUGUCUUCUUUUUCUUCACUUCUCAGAUAAAUCAGUUAAUAGUUUAAGCAAUUUUUCUAAGUAAUUACCACAUUUUAAUUUUAUCUUCUAUAUAAUUUUUAUCUUCUGUUGGAAUUUUAUCUCGUUUCUUGUUUUAUCAACUUUAGACAUUAUCUGAGGUCUUCUUACUGAAAAAUGAGGAACUUGGUUUGCUCAUACUAUCUCCCACAUCACCUUCAUCUCUUCACAUUCUGGUUUUUGUAAUGUAAAUUUUAUAGACUUUUAGUGAUUUCUCUGUAAAUUUCAGCUGACUCCUCAUUACUUCCUUUCCUUCCCUCUUUCUUCCCAUACUCUCAAUUUUCAUUAAUUAUGACCCUUGACAAUAAAAUGCAAAUGUUAAUUCUUCGGUAUAUAUACUUCAAUGCUUUGCUACUGGUUGACUUGGAAAAUUAAAAUCCAGUAGACAGCAUUUACAAUAUUAUGACUAUGUAAGUAUUCAAAAUAGAACCAAAUACAGUGGUGAAUAGAGUCACAUAAAAGCAAAUAGAAAACUGAAUUACUUAAAACUUUCCCAAGGGAGUCUUCCAACUAUCUCUGCUUAAUGGAAUCUUUUUUUGUUUUGUCCUAGUUUUCUUCCCAUUUUCUAAGUCCUCUCAACUGCUGCUGUUUCUUGUAUUCUACGUGUUUUGCUUUCUUGAAUUACUUUUGCUGGAGUACUUUCUUAAGUAAUUUUUUUCAUAAAGGACGCUUGGGUGGUAAACUUAUCAAGUUAAUACUGUUGAAAAUCUCUGUUGUACUCUUGUAUUUAAUUGGUAAUUUGAGAAUGCAGAAUAGACACAAAAUCAAUAUACAUACUACAGAUUAUCCAUAUGCUCUCAUUCAUUUCUCCGCACACAUUUUACACUUUCUUCCUGUUCUAGAUAGCUUCUUCCAUGUCGAUGUUUGAAAUCAUUGCAACAGUUCCUGGUUGCUGUUUCAAGGUCUUUAAAUGCUGUUUGGUAAAGUUGUGAAAGUUUUUCUUUCCCAGUGUCCCAGAGCAAAUUAUCACACGUUAAUUCUGAGUUUUAAGGAGGCCACAUUAUGUCAGCUUUAUGCCCAAUCCAUCAACCACUGAAUUUGUCUGGAAGAUACUCUUACUGGAAAAGCGUAAGGUACUGGGCUCCCUCGUUGUUGCAGGAUAGUUGUUGCCUUGAAACUGUAGGCAUCAGGCCACAUCUGAAACAUGUUCAAGUCAGCACCCAUCAUGACAGUCACUUUUAGAACAUUUUCAUUACACCAAAAAGAAACCUCGGACUCAUUAGUAGUCACUCCCACUGCCUCCCAAGGACCGCCACCACCACCCUGAGCCAUAAACACCCAAAAUGUGGUCUCUCAUGACUGAUGUCUUUCACUUUGCAUAAUGUGUUCAAGGUUCAUCCAUGCUGUAGCAUGUAGCAGUGUUGGUAGAUGCUUAAUCUCUUGAAAGUCCUCGUUAUUCAGCAUCUUUUAAAAAAUACUUUUCCAAUAUCAAGUACUUCUAGGUGGUUUUUGCUUUAUAAUCUAGUCAGUUUCCCUGUUAAUAAUGUCAGCACUUCAGUUGUUAACUGAUAGAUUCAGAGAUUUGUUGCUGUAUGAGUUAACGACAUCUACCCAUUCUGUAGUAAAAACUUCUCACUUUGCUUUUCUGCAUCUAGGAGAUAGACCUAAUCCAAAUAGACCUACUUUCAAAAGAUGUUAGACAUAACUAUUACAGUCCAGGGAGUUUUAUGCUGUUUACAUUGAUUCUUUUUUUGUAGUAUUUUCUUGGAUAUGAUAGAAACAAUUUGAGGAGCUUUUAUAUAUUUCUGAAGAGAUUUGUAUCUGUGUUAAAGUGUUUCAUGUAUAUUCUUUGUUCUACUCAUAGCCUUUUGAAAUAUCUUUUUCCAAUGUGUUAAGUCAAAACUUACCCCAAAUCAUUUGAUCACUUGUUCAGAGAGCUAAGAUCUUAAAGGAAUUGAUCGCCUAACACAUCGAACAUCCAGAAUCAGUGCUCUUGGUUUGACCACACUAACUCCAUUUAAACCUGAGCAAUUUUUCUUGAUACUUAGUUGUUAUCUUUCUAAGUAUUUUAAGUUGGGACAUGUGGAAAAGUUUUCUUUGGCCAUUUAUUGGAAGCUGAAUCACAUAUCAGUAACACUGAGUAAAAGCAUUCUUCAUUCUUGAAAUGUCUAUAGUUUUUUGUUUUGUUUUACCAAAUACCUGUAGAUUAAAUUGUUAUUUGAAGACGUACUCAGAGAGGUUCUUAACUAUUCAAAUUGUUAAUGUGCAUUGAUUUUCUUUUGCAGAAGCUGAGUAUCUAUGGUGACUUGGAAUUUGUGAAUGAACAAAA